GACGAACGCUGGCGGCGUGCUUAACACAUGCAAGUCGAACGGAAAGGCCCUGCUUUUGUGGGGUGCUCGAGUGGCGAACGGGUGAGUAACACGUGAGUAACCUGCCCUUGACUUUGGGAUAACUUCAGGAAACUGGGGCUAAUACCGGAUAGGAGCGCCUGCUGCAUGGUGGGGGUUGGAAAGUUUCGGCGGUUGGGGAUGGACUCGCGGCUUAUCAGCUUGUUGGUGGGGUAGUGGCUUACCAAGGCUUUGACGGGUAGCCGGCCUGAGAGGGAGACCGGCCACAUUGGGACUGAGAUACGGCCCAGACUCCUACGGGAGGCAGCAGUGGGGAAUAGUGCACAAUGGGCGGAAGCCUGAUGCAGCAACGCCGCGUGCGGGAUGACUGCCUUCGGGUUGUAAACCGCGUUCGCCUGUGACGAAGCGUGAGUGACGGUAAUGGGUAAAGAAGCACCGGCUAACUACGUG
rnacentral:rRNA from 1 species